rnacentral:rRNA from 1 species
UACAGAGGUCUCAAGCGUUGUUCGGAUUCAUUGGGCGUAAAGGGUGCGUAGGCGGCGCGGUAAGUCGGGUGUGAAAUCUUGGAGCUUAACUCCGAAACUGCAUUCCAUACUGCGGUGCUUGAGGACUGGAGAGGAGACUGGAAUUCAUGGUGUAGCAGUGAAAUGCGUAGAGAUCAUGAGGAAGACCAGUGGCGAAGGCGGGUCUCUGGACAGUUCCUGACACUGAGGCACGAAGGCCAGGGGGAGCAAAACGGG